rnacentral:rRNA from 1 species
AGUGAACGCUGGCGGUAGGCCUAACACAUGCAAGUCGAACGGCAGCACAGUAAGAGCUUGCUCUUACGGGUGGCGAGUGGCGGACGGGUGAGGAAUACAUCGGAAUCUACUUUUUCGUGGGGGAUAACGUAGGGAAACUUACGCUAAUACCGCAUACGACCUACGGGUGAAAGCAGGGGAUCUUCGGACCUUGCGCGAUUGAAUGAGCCGAUGUCGGAUUAGCUAGUUGGCGGGGUAAAGGCCCACCAAGGCGACGAUCCGUAGCUGGUCUGAGAGGAUGAUCAGCAAAACUGGAACUGAGACACGGUCCAAACUCCUACGGGAGGAAGAAGUGGGGAAUAUUGGCAAAUGGGCGAAAGCCUGAUCCAGCCAUACCGCGUGGGUGAAGAAGGCCUUCGGGUUGUAAAGCCCUUUUGUUGGGAAAGAAAAGAAGCAGGUUAAUACCCCGCUGUCCUGACGGUACCAAAAGAAUAAGCACCGGCUACCUUCGU